UACGUAGGGGGCAAGCGUUGUCCGGAUUUACGGGGCGUAAAGAGCGUGUAGGCGGCCAGGCAGGUCCGUUGUGAAAACUGGAGGCUUAACCUCCAGACGUCGACGGAAACCGCGUGGCUAGAGUCCGGAAGAGGAGAGUGGAAUUCCUGGUGUAGCGGUGAAAUGCGCAGAUAUCAGGAAGAACACCAAUGGCGAAGGCAGCUCUCUGGGACGGUACUGACGCUGAGACGCGAAAGCGUGGGGAGCGAACAGG
rnacentral:rRNA from 1 species